rnacentral:lncRNA from 1 species
AAAUAAAUUCAUAUAUAUAAUAUCACACUAAAUCAGGUAUACAAAAAUAUUCUACAAUGACAUGUGGGCCCCAAUAUAACUGAAAAUAUACAAGACUGUAGACCUUCGAUUUUUAAGGAUGCAAAUCCAAAAGCAACCCUCGACAAAAUCAGUUAUCUACAGACUGUCCUGAGCCUGAAAUGGGUAAAAAGAAGGGGUGAGUUUUUAUAAACCUAGAGAGUAAGCAAAGUUCAUCUACAACAUCUAAAGCUGAGUAAAUGGAGACAGUUAGAUCAUCCCAUCACAAUAUGAUUCAUAACAUUUAAAACUCAUUUCAAUUCAUAUAAAACAAUUACAUUUCAUCAAAAUAAUCAACAAGGCAUAUGAUUCUCUUAAAAACUUGGCUUGUGCCAAAACUCAUACUCGGGGACACCUUAGCUCGGGCAUCCAACCGAGUCCGCCAAGGAUGUUAAAACGACAUAUACCUAUAAAACAUGUUUUUACUUUUAAAAUAUAGCCAUUCCUUGGCGUUGGCUGAGUUUCAUCCUCACGUGGUGGUUCGGCGUGAAGUGAACUCUAAACUUACCUUAGGAGAUACCUUCCGUACCUCUCGUACUAAGGUAAAAUAUAACGGGGUUUACCGUGCCCCUCUAAUAGCUGGUCCACGAAAACCCGCCCACUGCAGUAAGUUAAUCAAAUGACCCAUCAAAUCAAUAAAAAUUUCGACAGUAUGACAUGGCUAAUAUAGUAUUACCCAGCCUGUCAUGGUAAAACAAAACAGUUUAUAUAAUCCACAAACCAUAAAUCCAGCCAUUCAUGCCAUCACAUUAUCAUAAGCCAUCAAUUCAAACCAUAUAUAUAUAUAACACAAGUAUUUAGUCUCCACUUACUCAAUUUCCAAAAUCAUCAUUGAAUUGCAAAACAAUUUAUAAAUCUCAUUCAUUUAACCAUCACUUAACUUAUAAAACAUAAAAUCUACAGUUUAAGUUCAUUAUUCUUUAAAAUCAUAAAAACGAGUAUAAACUACUUUAGAUAGUUAAGAUGAACAUUUGAUUACUCAUAAUAGCGGGAGUUUGGAGUACUCCUAUUCUUGGUCAUUGGAUACGAUAUCUUUACCCUUAUCAGAGGGCUCACCACCUAUACAUAAUAUACAACACGUAAUUCAAUAUAUUUGUGCCAAACUGUUAUAAAACUAUUUCAGGCUCUAUAUGAAUGUAUGAAAUUGAAUGAGAAUUGUUCGAAUAAUCACUUAAAGACGAUGUUCUACGUGGGUUCAAUUAUGAUCGGACUAAUUUGUAUUCGACCUAACUCGAACUAUACAUUGUUGAAUUAACCAAAACAUCCGAUUCAACUUCAAAUAUAUUCAUUACACUUCCAAUAUUCCAAAUACACCAAAGUACCUCAAUGAGCUUGAUUGUGACUUAAUUCAUCAUAAUCGAAAUUCAUUCUGAUUAUGAACUAAUGUGCUAAUCAGUGUUAACACACUCCAAUAAAUCCAUCUACAUCAUUAGGAAUCAAAUCUAUAAUCAAUAUGUCAUCUAUAAAAUUUUGCUAGAGAGGGUUGUUGAAGGGCAUGUGAUUUUCUUGCUUGUUUUUCAUGCCAAACAUCAUCAAAAAACUAAAAACACUAAGAUAUCAUGAAAUCUAGCAAAAUCUAUCAUCAAAACCUCUCUCCCUAUGUUCUGCCAGCAAGUAUUCCCUCAUGGAAACUUGUGUUUCAUCCAUAGAAAAUGAAAAAGAAAGCAUGAGAAAGGUAGAUCUUAAGCUAAAAUUGAAAAAUCUUACCUUUGAUUGCUUUGUUCUUUGAAAUUCAACAAAUUUCUCUUGAAUUUUCCUCUCUAGGGUUUGUUUCUAUUAUUUUCUCUUUGUUCUUUGCUUU